UUCCAUGAUGAAAACCUGAAUAGGAAGUGCCGUCUUAUGCGAUAACUGACGAGUUUGUUUAUUCUUAAUCUGAGA